rnacentral:rRNA from 1 species
AUUGAACGCUGGCGGCAGGCCUAACACAUGCAAGUCGAGCGAGCGGCGGACGGGUGAGUAAUGUAUGGGGACUGCCCGAUAGAGGGGGAUAACUACUGGAAAAGGUGGCUAAUACCGCAUAAUAUCGGAUAAACCAUCUGGGAUUAGCUAGUCUGUGGGGUAAAGGCUCACCUAGUCGACGAGCGCUACACUGUCUGAGAGGAUGAUCAGCCACACGGGGACGGAGACCCGGCCCAGACUCCUACGGAGGAAGCAGUGGGGAAUCUUGCACAAUGGGCGCAAGCCUGAUGCAGCCAUGCCGCGUGUAUGAAGAAGGCCUUAGGGUUUUAAAGUACUUUCAGCGGGGAGGCGUUACCCGCAGAAGAAGCACCGGCUAACUCCGUGCCAGCCGCCGCGGUAAUAC